CCUACGGGGGGCAGCAGUAGGGAAUCUUCCGCAAUGGACGAAAGUCUGACGGAGCAACGCCGCGUGAGCGAAGAAGGUCCUCGGAUCGUAAAGCUCUGUUGUUAGGGAAGAACAAGUACGGGAGGAAAUGACCGUACCUUGACGGUACCUGACGAGGAAGCCACGGCUAACUACGUGCCAGCAGCCGCGGUAAUACGUAGGUGGCAAGCGUAGUCCGGAAUUAUUGGGCGUAAAGCGCGCGCGGGCGGGCUUUUAGGUCUGAUGUGAAAUCUUGCGGCUCAACCGCAAGCGGUCAUGGGAAAGUGGGCGACUUGAGUGCAGAUGAGGAAAGCGGAAUUCCACGUGUAGCGGUGAAAUGCGUAGAGGGGUGGAGGAACACCAGUGGCGAAGGCGGCUUUCUAGUCUGUAACUGACGCUGGGGCGCGAAAGCGUGGGGAGCAAACAGGAUUAGGUGCCCUAGUAGUC
rnacentral:rRNA from 1 species